AACCAGCACCUCAAGUGGUCAGGACGAUUAUUGGGCCUAAAGCAUCCGUAGCCGGCUCUGUAAGUUUUCGGUUAAAUCUGUACGCUUAACGUACAGGCUGCCGGGAAUACUGCAGAGCUAGGGAGUGGGAGAGGUAGACGGUACUCGGUAGGAAGGGGUGAAAUCCUUUGAUCUAUUGAUGACCACCUGUGGCGAAGGCGGUCUACCAGAACACGUCCGACGGUGAGGGAUGAAAGCUGGGGGAGCAAACCGG
rnacentral:rRNA from 1 species